rnacentral:lncRNA from 1 species
GUCCAACAUCUGGAGGCCCCAGUGAGAUCUCCUUGAUCCAACAGUCUUGGGCCUUACUGCCACCUGGGCUGUCACCGACUUGCCUGAAUGUUGGGGAGGCCACCCCGAGGCAUUCUGGGGCCCCAAAUUCGGAGGGUGUUGAUGGAGGCAUGCAGGCCUUGUUUGGAUUGGCACUGGAGAACUUUAUUUUGAAAGCCUCUGGAGAAGAAAGGGACACUAUCCUCCAGGAGGCAAUUAGAGCCACCCUGGGACCUGGUGGUGAUGCUGCCCCUGACCAUGCCCAAUGCCUGGAGGCUGUCAUGCCAGCAAAGCAUCCGAAUUGGGACCACAACACAAAGGAGGGUUUGGACAGAAACAAACCUGCCUGGACUGGCGGCACACCAACCUCCUGCUGUGGCCACCCUUCUGGCAGCAGCAACCCCCAUCGCCAUCAAACAAUACCCCAUCAAGACAGCUGCCAGAGGAAAAAAUGAGGAUUCAUUUGUGAAAACUCCUGGGUGCUGGAAUCCUGAGACCAGGUAAGUCCCCCUGGAAUACUACGCUUCUUCCAGUAUUAAAACCAGGCACAGGAGACUAUCGCCCAGUCCAGGACUUACGUGAAAUAAACAAGAGGGUAGAGACUGUUCACCCAACUGUCCCAAAUCCCUAUACACUGCUGAUCCUCAUGCCACCAGAACACAAGGUAUAUACUGUAUUGGAUCUCAAGGAUGCUUUCUUCAGCAUUCCCCUGGCACUAGUGCCACGUAUGUGCCAAGGUAAACCCCGCAACAAGGCCCAGAAACACUGGGACUCGGUUUAGGGGGACCCAAACAGGAGAACACUGGGAACUGGACUUCACUGAGAUAAAGUCUCUACAAGCCUUACAAGAGAUUCAGCUUGAGAACCAUCACCACGUACAGGCCACCAGAGGGCAACAGCCUUUCCCGCCCCCACCAGUUCAAACCAGGGGAUCUUGUCUUGGUUCACCAACAUCACUCAUGCCAAGGCCAGCACCACCAGAGGAUGACCCACUUUCAACAUAGAAGGUCCUCAGCCAGCCCAGGGACCAAAAGAUAAGACUGGGAUGGGAAACAAAACUGUAAUUAUGCUAAUUCUAUGUCAAAUAAGGUUUCAGGAAAGUGAUGCAAGCAACCCCUAUGCACCACAAACAAAAAUUUUAAAAACUCAGGAUGACUACAAGCAACAGAGUGGUCAGCCAAGUUAAUAAGGGUCCCAAUACCAGCCAAG